rnacentral:lncRNA from 1 species
GUACCCGUCUAUAUUUUUUGUUCUACUGUUUCUUUCAUUUAGACAGUUACAUUUCUUUCAGACUAUUACUUGUAGUAAAUUCUAGAAUGCUCGUGAAUUGUGACUCCAGAUCCGGGUGAUAGUAAUUAAUACAGUUUUAUAAUAUUCCGCACGUAAUAUAUUUCAUCUUAGUUAAUUAUUGUUAAUUACUUUAUGGGAAUAAGGAAUUGGUUAAUGAUUCUGUAACGUUGGCUUGCCUAGCAAGUGAAAUGUUAGGCGUCAUCACGGUCCCGUCAGUGAAAAAUUUCGGAUCGUGACAAAAGCACCCAAUAUCCCUAAUAGACCAUGAUCAGAAAUUGAUUAGCAAAACCAAAAUCGGCAAAUUCGAAUACAAUCCCAUAUACAAAUGCAUAAACAUAGUGCCUUUUUCAUGAAAUGAAAAUUACCCAGCUCCCCCAACCCUCCACCCAAAACAAAGAGCUCUAGAGUCCAGUAUGACAAUCAAAGAGGGAAUAUAGCAAAAUCAUACAUACACACAAACACAUAACAAAGAUGCAUAAAGAUUGUGACUUUUUCAAAAAAAAAAAAUAGAAUUAGCAAUUUCAAAUAAAAAGCUCCAGAUUGAAAAUCAAAGAGGGAAUACAGAAAACCCAUAGAUUCUAACAUAGAAAGCACAUAAAUAUUUUGCCUUUCUCGAAAAAUUAGAAUUACCCAAUUCAAAAAACAAACUCCAAAUAAAAAUCAAAAAGAAAACACAAAAAAAAGAACCCUGGAUUCCAACACAAACACAUAUUAAAACACAUAAAAAUUGUGCCUUUUAAUGAAAUUAAAGUUACCCAUUUCCUGAAGAAAGCUCAAAUCUUUUAGAAUUGAAGAUGAAAAAAUUAAACAGAAAAAGGAAAAAAAGACUUACCGUCAGUCAGAGAGAGAGAGAGAGAGAGAGAGAGAGCAGUCAAUGGCACAAGUGUAUUGGAAGAGAGAUCCAAGAACAAUCAGCCUCACACUUGAAAUGGAAGAGAAACUAAACAAGAAAAAGGAAAUCGAGAGUGAGAGAGAGGAAUAGAGAAAUUGGAAAAAUAGGCACAAAUUAAAGAAAUCGAGAGUGAGAGAGAGAGAAAUAGAGAAAUUGGGAAAAUAGGCCCGAAAUUGGGUUUUGGCCUAACAUAUUAGAUUUAGGUUUCUG